rnacentral:piRNA from 1 species
UAACAUGGUUUUAAAAACCUGUGGGUUCUG